UACGUAGGGGGCAAGCGUUGUCCGGAAUCAUUGGGCGUAAAGAGCGUGUAGGCGGCCCGAUAAGUCCGCCGUGAAAGUCCAGGGCUCAACCCUGGAAUGCCGGUGGAAACUGUCGGGCUGGAGUCCGGAAGAGGCGAGUGGAAUUCCCGGUGUAGCGGUGAAAUGCGUAGAGAUCGGGAAGAACACCAACGGCGAAAGCACUCUGCUGGGCCGAAACUGACACUGAGAGACGAAAGCUAGGGGAGCAAAUGGG
rnacentral:rRNA from 1 species